rnacentral:rRNA from 1 species
GACGUAGGGCGCAAGCGUUGUCCGGAAUUAUUGGGCGUAAAGAGCUCGUAGGCGGUCUGUUGCGUCCGCUGUGAAAACUCGGGGCUUAACCCCGAGCCUGCAGUGGAUACGGGCAGACUAGAGGUAGGUAGGGGAGAAUGGAAUUCCCGGUGUAGCGGUGAAAUGCGCAGAUAUCAGGAAGAACACCGGUGGCGAAGGCGGCUCUCUGGGCCUUACCUGACGCUGAGGAGCGAAAGCGUGGGUAGCGAACAGG